UUAAAUUGAAGAGUUUGAUCAUGGCUCAGAUUGAACGCUGGCGGCAGGCCUAACACAUGCAAGUCGAACGGUAACAGGAAACAGCUUGCUGUUUCGCUGACGAGUGGCGGACGGGUGAGUAAUGUCUGGGAAACUGCCUGAUGGAGGGGGAUAACUACUGGAAACGGUAGCUAAUACCGCAUAACGUCGCAAGACCAAAGAGGGGGACCUUCGGGCCUCUUGCCAUCGGAUGUGCCCAGAUGGGAUUAGCUAGUAGGUGGGGUAACGGCUCACCUAGGCGACGAUCCCUAGCUGGUCUGAGAGGAUGACCAGCCACACUGGAACUGAGACACGGUCCAGACUCCUACGGGAGGCAGCAGUGGGGAAUAUUGCACAAUGGGCGCAAGCCUGAUGCAGCCAUGCCGCGUGUAUGAAGAAGGCCUUCGGGUUGUAAAGUACUUUCAGCGGGGAGGAAGGGAGUAAAGUUAAUACCUUUGCUCAUUGACGUUACCCGCAGAAGAAGCACCGGCUAACUCCGUGCCAGCAGCCGCGGUAAUACGGAGGGUGCAAGCGUUAAUCGGAAUUACUGGGCGUAAAGCGCACGCAGGCGGUUUGUUAAGUCAGAUGUGAAAUCCCCGGGCUCAACCUGGGAACUGCAUCUGAUACUGGCAAGCUUGAGUCUCGUAGAGGGGGGUAGAAUUCCAGGUGUAGCGGUGAAAUGCGUAGAGAUCUGGAGGAAUACCGGUGGCGAAGGCGGCCCCCUGGACGAAGACUGACGCUCAGGUGCGAAAGCGUGGGGAGCAAACAGGAUUAGAUACCCUGGUAGUCCACGCCGUAAACGAUGUCGACUUGGAGGUUGUGCCCUUGAGGCGUGGCUUCCGGAGCUAACGCGUUAAGUCGACCGCCUGGGGAGUACGGCCGCAAGGUUAAAACUCAAAUGAAUUGACGGGGGCCCGCACAAGCGGUGGAGCAUGUGGUUUAAUUCGAUGCAACGCGAAGAACCUUACCUGGUCUUGACAUCCACGGAAGUUUUCAGAGAUGGAAUGGUGCCUUCGGGAACCGUGAGACAGGUGCUGCAUGGCUGUCGUCAGCUCGUGUUGUGAAAUGUUGGGUUAAGUCCCGCAACGAGCGCAACCCUUAUCCUUUGUUGCCAGCGGUCCGGCCGGGAACUCAAAGGAGACUGCCAGUGAUAAACUGGAGGAAGGUGGGGAUGACGUCAAGUCAUCAUGGCCCUUACGACCAGGGCUACACACGUGCUACAAUGGCGCAUACAAAGAGAAGCGACCUCGCGAGAGCAAGCGGACCUCAUAAAGUGCGUCGUAGUCCGGAUUGGAGUCUGCAACUCGACUCCAUGAAGUCGGAAUCGCUAGUAAUCGUGGAUCAGAAUGCCACGGUGAAUACGUUCCCGGGCCUUGUACACACCGCCCGUCACACCAUGGGAGUGGGUUGCAAAAGAAGUAGGUAGCUUAACCUUCGGGAGGGCGCUUACCACUUUGUGAUUCAUGACUGGGGUGAAGUCGUAACAAGGUAACCGUAGGGGAACCUGCGGUUGGAUCACCUCCUUACCUUAAAGAA
rnacentral:rRNA from 1 species